rnacentral:rRNA from 1 species
UGCCACAGCCAUAUCACCCUGCAGCCCAAGACCGGUUACUCACUGAAGCUAAGCAGGGCUGAGCCUGGUCAGUGCCUGGAUGGGAGACCACUAGGGAACACUAGGUUGCUGUUGGAA